rnacentral:rRNA from 1 species
GUUUGAUCCUGGCUCAGAUUGAACGCUGGCGGCAUGCCUUACACAUGCAAGUCGAACGGUAACGCGGGGCAACCUGGCGACGAGUGGCGAACGGGUGAGUAAAGCAUCGGAACGUGCCCGUAGUGGGGGAUAGCCCGGCGAAAGCCGGAUUAAUACCGCAUAAGACCUGAGGGUGAAAGCGGGGGACUCGCAAGAGCCUCGCGCUAACGGAGCGGCCGAUGUCAGAUUAGGUAGUUGGUGGGGUAAAGGCCUACCAAGCCGACGAUCUGUAGCUGGUCUGAGAGGACGACCAGCCACACUGGGACUGAGACACGGCCCAGACUCCUACGGGAGGCAGCAGUGGGGAAUUUUGGACAAUGGGGGCAACCCUGAUCCAGCCAUGCCGCGUGCGGGAAGAAGGCCUUCGGGUUGUAAACCGCUUUUGUCAGGGAAGAAAUCUUCUGGGUUAAUACCUCGGGAGGAUGACGGUACCUGAAGAAUAAGCACCGGCUAACUACGUGCCAGCAGCCGCGGUAAUACGUAGGGUGCGAGCGUUAAUCGGAAUUACUGGGCGUAAAGCGUGCGCAGGCGGUUGUGCAAGACAGAUGUGAAAUCCCCGGGCUUAACCUG